GUGAAAGGUGCUGGCAUGGUUCUGAAGGCGAUAAUCGAGGCAAUUGAGUGGACAUCUUGUGGCUCUCUGGACAACUGGUCGUCCAACAGCAAUGGCAUUACUUGUGAGAAUAAUCCACCAGAGACUAAAGAAGAUCAUUUAUCAAUUCGUGAC